rnacentral:rRNA from 1 species
AACGAACGCUGGCGGCAUGCCUAACACAUGCAAGUCGAACGAGAUCUUCGGGUCUAGUGGCGCACGGGUGCGUAACGCGUGGGAAUCUGCCCUUUGGUUCGGAAUAACAGUUGGAAACGACUGCUAAUACCGGAUGACGACGAAAGUCCAAAGAUUUAUCGCCAGAGGAUGAGCCCGCGUAGGAUUAGCUAGUUGGUGUGGUAAAGGCGCACCAAGGCGACGAUCCUUAGCUGGUCUGAGAGGAUGAUCAGCCACACUGGGACUGAAACACGGCCCAGACUCCUACGGGAGGCAGCAGUGGGGAAUAUUGGACAAUGGGCGAAAGCCUGAUCCAGCAAUGCCGCGUGAGUGAUGAAGGCCUUAGGGUUGUAAAGCUCUUUUACCCGGGAUGAUAAUGACAGUACCGGGAGAAUAAGCUCCGGCUAACUCCGUGCCAGCCGCCGCGGUAA